AAGGAAUAGAAAAGCAUGCAACAAAGUUCUCAUCCCGUUACGUAUCAGAGCACCUAAAGACACACAUGAGAGAUAAUCCACUCACGACAGCAAUCUAACAACAACUUAAACUCGAUCACCUGCAAGUUACUCAUACGUAAAGCAACAUUUUCAAGCAGAAGGGGUGAGAUUUCACAAAACAAUAAUAUCAAGCAUAUAAUUCAUUAAUUAUAUUUAACAACAGAAAUAACUUCAUCUAUUAGUAAUAGUAAUCCUUUAUAUAAUGAUUCUUAAUAACUCAACCAACUUCUAAUUAUCAUUAACUUCAUAUUCAUCACAUUAUAAACUUCAUCAUAUAGCACAUAAUAACCAAAUCAUAACCGACAUAGAUUAUCAUAUCAUAAAUAUCAUCUUUAACACACAACGUAAUCAUCAUCUCAUAAUAACUUAGACCAAACAACAUAAUCAUCACUUAAUAAUAAUAAUAAUCAUAUACAACACAACAUAAUCAUCACUUACUAAUAAUAUAAACAACACAUAUUCAUCAUCUUAUAAUAAUACAACAACACAUAUUCAUCAUCUUAUAAUAAUAUAACAACAACAUAUUCAUCAAUAUUCCAUGGUUUGUCUUUAUCAACAACUUCAACAAUUCAUCAACGACAACGUCAACCUGACAACACAACUACGUGAGAGUACACCACCUCUUAUAAUACGACAACAUAAGAAUACACCACCUCUUAAAGAAUAACAACGUAAGAGUACACCACCUCUUAUAAACGACAAGUAAGAUUACACCACCUCUUAAAGAAUAACAAUGUAAGAGUACACCACCUCUUAUAAACGACAAAUAAGAGUACACCACCUCUUAAAGAAUAACAACGUAAGAGUACGUCACCUCUUAUAAAACGACAAGUAAGAGUACACCACCUCUUAAAGAAUAACAACGUAAGAGUACAACACCUCUCACAAAACACCUGAACAUAAACAGUCACCAGCAACAGCUUCAAGUACGACUUCAACAACUUAGACAACAUCAACAACUUAAGACUCCAAUACUUUGGAACGACAACUUACAACUUAGACAACUUAAACCAACAUCUGCAACUUAAUCAAUAUUCAACAGCAACAGAAACAGCACAAGCAAUUCUCAACAUAACAAUAUUAAUGAAAAACAUCAACAACUUAAACAUCAUACAUUUUCCACAUAAGGCAUAUAAUUAUUUCACAUAACCAACAACAUCAAAUAAUAAUCAACAUCUUAAAACAUCAUAUAUACAUAUAACACUUCAUCAAUCAUGGACAAUAUCGUAUUCAUAACAUAUACAUACAUAUACUAAUUCAUCAAUCAUAAACAACAUCAUACUCAUAAACAUAUACAUUCAUAUAACACUUCAUCAAUCAUGAACAAUAUCGUAUUUACAAACAUAUACAUACAUAUACUAAUUCAUCAAUCAUAUUCAAUUAUUCACUAUGACCUACGUGCAGUAAUUUGACCAUAACUCAAGUUCUAUACAUCCUUUUGAAGUUAAACCAACAGCAUUAGAAAGUUAACAUCCAUACCUACAACUUUCGUGUUUACCCCUAAGACCAAUUAUGUACCAAUAAAUACCAGUUUUCAUUUCAAAUUCGGACAAAGUUGUGCUGAAAUUCAUAAAAAUUGACUGUGACCUACGUGCAGUACUUUGACCAUAACUCAAGUUCUAUCAAUCGUUUUGACUUCAGACCAACGGUAUUAGAAAGCUAACUUCCAUACCUACAACUUUCGUGUUUACACCUAAGACCAAUUAUGUACCAAUCAAUACCAGUAUUAAUUUAAAAUUCGGUCUAAGUUGUGCUAAAAUUCAUAAAAGUUUACUGUGACCUACGUGCAGUAAUUUGACCAUAACUCAAGUUCUAUAAAUUUUUUUGAUGUCAGACCAACGACAUUAGAAAUCUAACAUUUAUACCUACAACUUUCGUGUUUACACCUAAGACCAAUUCUGGACUUAUCAAUACCAGAUUUCAUUUCAAAUUCGGGGCAGAGAUGAAAAGAAAAAUCAGAAAAAGCAACCUAUAUUAUUCAACUUCACUUUCAUUCAAAAUCAUCACAAUCAUCACUCUUAACCCUUAUUCUCAAAUUCUCAAAAACUAAACCUACAACAUGUUAAAUACAAUUUUCAGAAUCAUAGAUCAAGAUUAUUGAAUGUUAGUCCCACCCUUACCUUAAGAAAUUGAUUGCAAGGUUUUCUUCUCGUUCCUCCCCUUCUUUAGGUUUUCUCCCUUUUUCUCCAAAAACUGGUUGUACGUGAAAAACUAUUCUGACUUCUCACUUUUCUCUUUGUUUUCUCUCAAAUCCUUGUUUUCACGUAAAAACUAUUCUAACCUAAUUUCUCCUCUUUUAUAUCACUAAUCACUUCUCUUAAUUCUACUUAAGCCCACUAAACUUCUUUAAUUUCUAAUUCAGCCCCCCAAGUCUACUUAUUCUUUUAUUUAAUCACAUUCUAAUAAAUAAUAAAAUAAAACCACUUAAUAAAAUAUCAACAUACCACAUAAUCAAAUAAAUCAUAUAAUUCGACUCUAUCUCAUUAGAAUAAUUAAAUAAACAAAUAUAGGCUGCUAAUAUAUAUAUCAACACAUAACAAAAUAUCAUUUAUCAAAUAAGUUAAUUAAAUUCUAGAAGAACAGACUCUAAACUCAAAUAAAUAAAUAAAUAAAUAAAAUAAUUCAAAGAGGGUGUUACAACUCUACCCCCCUUAAAAGAAUUUCGUCCUCGAAAUUCAAAGCACGCAAGAAAAGGAAUUCAAUUAUUGUCUAACCAUCUUAAACCAUAUAUAGUCAAAUAGAAACUUCAACAAAACAUGUAAACCACAUCAAAGUUAGUCAAUCAAACAUGAUCACAUAAUAAACAUAUCUAUUAAUCAGAAACACAACAAUAACCAAUCAAACAACAUAAAGAUAGUAAUACAACUGUUACUCGACACAACUCGACUCAACUACUUGGCCGGAUGGACCGACCUGCUCUGAUACCAAUUGUAACACCCCGUUUUCCCAACUUAAAAAUUUCAUUUAAUUAAUCAGAGUAAUUCACAUAAACGGAAUAUCACACUUCUUUUCUUAAAAUCAUAAACGGAAUAAUUAACUAAUUAUCCUACAAAAUUCAAUAACAUAAUAUUUAAUACUUCGCAGCGGAAUUUAUUCGAACAUCUAAAAUAAUUUUGGCACGAAGGCCUCAUCAAAGUAUCUCAUAAAAAUCCAAUUAACAACUUAAUCAUGUAAAUUCAUAAGCAAUACGUAAGGAAUAUAUAUGAUUUGCUGUAGAAAUAUAUGUCAUUUGCUAUAGAAAUAUAAAUGAUUUUUUAUGGAAAUAUAUAUAUAUAUAUAUAUAUAUAUAUAUAUAUAUGUAUAUAUUAGAAUAGAAUAUUAAUAUUUGGAUUUAAGAGAAAAAUAAGUAGGUUAAAGAUUGAUAUAAAUAGGAGAGACCUAGUUUAGAAAAACAUAACGUACGUACGACUGCUUUUGGAGAAAAGGGAGAAAAGUCAAGAGAAGAGGAAAUACCAAGAGGAGGGCUGCGAUUUUGUGUAUUAAGGUAAGGGUGAGACUAACUUUGCAAUUAUAUUAAGUAUGUGAAUCAAUGGUUGGGUUUAACAUGAUGUAGGAUGAGUUUUUGAGGAAUUGAAAAGUAGGUUAAAAUUGUAGAAUUAAUGAAUAAACGGUGGAAACUUGUUAAAAAGAUGUAGAAACUGUCCUUAGACCUUAGAUAAUGAUUAAGAAUGAAUUAAGGAAUCGAAAUUAGGUUUAAAACCUUGAGAAAGGAUUGAAUUGGAGAAAACGAAAAAUAGGUCAAAACCCUAAAAUUGAUGAUUAAACGGUAGGAAUUGAUUAAACUGUUGUAGAAAGUGUUCCUGGACCUUAGAUAAUGUUUAGGACAAACUUUGGAAUCAAUACUAGGCUUAGAACCAUGUGAAUCGUCGGAUUUUUGUGAAAUUAGGAAGCCUGGCCGUAGCGACAUUGAUCGCUCGCCACGGCGAGCUAUGAACCUCGCCUCGCGAGUGAUGAUCUUCAUCGCUCGCCACACGAGCCUUACCCUUCGCCUCGCGAGUUCUUUUGGUAUUGCCCGCCAUAGCGAGCAACCUUACUCGCCAUAGCGAGCUAAGGCAGAGAGCAUGUUGAAUUUUGUAAUUUCGACUUUUUAGUUGGACCUUGAGUGCCUUUGAGUGCCUGAACAUACCUACUAAUGAUUAGGGAACGAAUGGGAACGAGAUUGAACCUAGAACAACCUUAGUUGGAAAUUUGGCUUGUACUCGCCACGGCGAGCAGAUGUUCUCGCCUCGCGAGCACUUCUAGAAUUGAGUGUUUUAGUGCAUUGUGAGACUUGAGUUGCUUGGAUUGGUUAGAAAUGAAUUUUAGGUACAUAGUGUGACCUAUUAAAGAUAAUGAUUGUGAAUUGUGAAGCUAUAUUGAAAUGCUAAGUGUUUAUAAUGUGAUUUAUUGAUUGAUUGCAUUGCUUGAAUUAUUAUUGAAUGAUCAGGAAGUUGUUGAAAAUGAAUUGAUAUUGGGCUGUUGAUAUGAUAUAAUUAUGCUGCUAUUGUUAUUUAACUAAGUUGCAUGAGUUGUUGUUGAUUAUCAUUUGAUAUUGUUAUAUCCUGAGAUGUUUAUGUGUCGCCUAUGUUGCUGUUGUUGGUUAUGUGAAAUAUUUAUAUGCCUUAUGUGGAAGAUGUUUGAUGUUUAAGUUGUUGAUGCUUCACAUUAAUAUUGUUAUGUUGUGAAUUGCUUGUGCUGUUUCUGUUGCUGUUAUGAACCCCCUUAUGGUAAUUGAGACCAAUGAUAACGUUUAAUGCAGACUGUAAAGUUGUUUAAGAUAUGUUGAUAUUAAUUGAGCAUGAGUUAAUGUAUUACACAUUAUGUAAGAUAUGAUGAAAUGUUAUGAUGCUAUUAAAUUGCAGUUGAUAUAUUGAUAUAUCUCUUUUGUUGUGUGACUUGACUGUGCUAUGGCUGUUAUUUAACUAAGUGCAUGAUGUCUAUAUAUAUGAGGAAAUGAUGACGUUUAGCUCCAAAUUAUUGGAUGCAUGAUGAUAUGUUGAUUACGAUGAUUACGGUGAUUUGUUGAUAAGAGUCCAUGCAUUAGCAUUCAUUGAGCUUUGUCCUCACCAUGUUUAGGAGCUUUGUCCUCCGCACGAUGAAAGUAUAUUAAUACUUAUGAUGACGAUUGGUACCACAUGCAUAUAAGUGUCUAAGUUGCAUUGUCGCAUUUGUUGAGUCAAAGUCGUUGGUGAUGAAUUAUCAUCCAUGGGUGAUCGAGUUGUGUUCUACCCAUGUGUUGUUAAAGAAGUACCUACGAAGAUUAUACGAUGUGAAUUAUAUGAUGUUGACUAAGAUGUUGCUAUGUUGUUUAACAUGUUGAUUAUGAUAUUGUUACGUUGCUAUGUUGUUUAAGAUAAUGAAUAUGAUAUUGUUAUGUUGCUAUGUUGUUUAACAUAUUGAUCAUGAUAUUGUUAUGUUGCUAAGUUGUUUAAGAUGUUGAUUAUGAUAUGUUUAUGUUGCUAUGUUGUGUAAGAUAUUGAUUAUGAUAUUGUUAAGUUGUUAUGAUGUUGUAUAUAAUUGUUACUAUUAAGUGAUGAAUUGUUGUACCAUAUAUGAUUAAUUAUUAUUAAGUGAAUGUUAUGAAUAUGUUGUUGUUAUAUUUUCAUAAGAUGAUGAAUACGUUGUUGUUAUAUAAUAUAAGAAGAUGAAUAUGUUGUUGUUGUUAUAUUAUUAUAAGAAGAUGUUUAUAUUAUGAUGUAUAUAAUUAUUAUUAUUAAGUGAUGAUUAUAUUGUAUAGUUUAAGUUAUUAGUGAUGAUGAUUACAUGAUGUUAUCUAGGAGUUGUUAAAUGUACUUGAUGAUGGUUAUGUUAAGUUGAUAAGUUGUCUUCUAUUCAUGAGAUGCUUGGUGGAGAAAUGUUAUUACAAAUUAAUGAUGUUAUUAUGUCUUAUAUGAAUUAGGAUUAAGAUGUUGUUAUGUUGUAUAUGAAUUAUGAUUAAGAUGUUAUGUUGAAUAUGAACUAUUAGUAUGAUGUGAUGAUCUAUGUUGUUAUGAUUUGGUUAAUACGUGUUAUAUGAUGAUGUUAUAAUGUGGUGAAUAUGAAGUAAAUGAUAAUAGAAGUUGGUUGGACUAUUAAGAAUUAUACAUGAAGAAUUAUUAUUACUAAUAGAUGAAGUUAGUUGUGUUGUUAAAUAUAAUUAUUGAAUUAUAUGCUUGAUAUUAUUGUUUUGUGAAAUCUCACCCCUUCUGCUUGAAAAUGUUGCUCUUCGCAUGAGUAACUUGCAGGUAUUAAUGAUUAGUAGGAGUGGUGGCUCAAGUGUCUUUAGGUGCUCUAAUACGUAACGGGAUGGGAACUUUGUUAUUGCUUUCUAUUCCUUACGUAUUGUUUUGAAGAUUUAUGACUAUGUUUUUAGAAUGGAUUUUUAUGAGAUAAUUAUAAAGAGGCCUUAGUGCCAAAGGCUGUUUUUAGUUAUUGAAGAAAUUCUACUGCGAAGUAUUUAAGAUUUUGUUAUUGAAUUUUAAAGGAUAAAUAGUUAUUUAUUCAGUUUAUGAUUUUAGGAAAAGAAUGUGACAUUCCGUUUUUGUGAAUUACUCUUAUUAAACAAAUGAAAUUUUUAUCUUGGGAAAACGGGAUGUUACAACCUGCAAGUUACUCAAACGAAGAACAACAUUUUCAAGCAGAAGGGGUGAGAUUUGACAAAACAAUAAUAUCAACUGUAAGAAGCCAGGUCAUUUCAUUGCUGAUUGCCCUGAUCUUCAGAAGGAGAAGUCUAAAAGCAGACCCAAGAAACCAAGCUUCAGCUCUAGCAAAUUCAGAAAGCAAAUCAAAAUGAGUUUGAUGGCAACCUGGGAAGAUCUGGACAGUGAAUCUGGUUCUGAUAAAGAAGAAGCAGAUGAUGAUGCAAAAGCAGCCAUGGGGUUAGUGGCAACAGUAUCAUCAGAAGCAGUAUCAGAAGCUGAAUCAGAUUCAGAAGAUGAAAAUGAGGUAUAUUCUAAGAUCCCUAGACAAGAACUUGUUGAUUCUCUAAAAGAACUCUUAUCACUAUUUGAACACAGAACCAAUGAGUUGUCUAAUUUAAAAGAAAAAUAUGUUGAUUUAAUGAAACAACAAAAAACAACUCUAUUGGAACUGAAAGCUUCUGAAGAAGAACUGAAAGGGUUUAACUUCAUAUCAACAACAUAUGAAGAUAGACUCAAGAUUCUUUGUCAGAAGCUACAAGAAAAGUGUGAUAAAGGUUCAGGCAAUAAACAUGAAAUUGCCUUGGAUGAUUUUAUUAUGGCUGGCAUAGACAGAAGCAAAGUUGCUUCUAUGAUCUACAGCACAUACAAAAACAAUGGCAAAGGGAUUGGAUAUUCUGAGGAGAAAUCCAAAGAGUACAGUCUCAAGAGCUACUGUGAUUGUAUCAAGGAUGGAUUGAAAUCCACCUUUGUGCCUGAAGGUACUGAUGCUGUAACUGCUGUCCAGUCAGAACCUGAAGCUUCUGGUUCUAAGGCUAAGAUUAUAUCAAAGCCAGAAAACCUUAAGUCUAAGGUUAUGACAAAACCUGAUCCUAAGACUCCAAAGAUUAAAAUUCUGAAAAGAUCAGAACCUGUUGCAAGAUUAUACUGAAACAUUUGCUCCAGUUGCAAGAUUGGAAGCAAUCAGGUUACUUCUAUCCUAUGCAGUUAAUCAUGACAUAAUAUUAUAUCAAAUGGAUGUCAAUAGUGCUUUUCUUAAUGGUGUCAUUGAAGAAGAAGUGUAUGUCAAACAACCACCUGGAUUUGAGGAUCUUAAGCAUCCUGAUCAUGUUUAUAAACUUGAAAUCACUAUAUGGCUUGAAACAAGCUCCGAGAGCUUGGUAUGAUAGACUAAGUAAUUCUUAAUUAAAAAUGAUUUUAAAAGAGGACAAGUUGACACAACACUCUUCAGAAGAACUCUUAAGAAAGACAUUCUGAUUGUACAAAUAUAUGUUGAUGAUAUAAUAUUUGGUUCUACUAAUGCAUCUCUUUGCAAGGAAUUUUCUAAGUUAAUGCAGGAUGAAUUUGAAAUGAGCAUGAUGGGAGAAUUGAAGUUCUUUCUUGGAAUUCAAAUCAACCAAAGCAAAGAAGGAGUAUAUGUUCAUCAAACAAAAUAUACAAAGGAGCUUCUGAAGAAGUUCAAGCUAGAAGAUUGUAAAGUGAUGAACACUCCAAUGCAUCCAACCUGCACCUUAAGCAAAGAAGAUACUGGAACUAUAGUAGACCAGAAGCUAUACAGAGGUAUGAUUGGCUCUCUGUUAUACCUCACUGCAUCUAGACCUGAUAUUUUAUUCAGUGUAUGCUUGUGUGCAAGAUUUCAAUCAGAUCCUAGAGAAUCUCAUUUAACUACAGUUAAAAGAAUCUUCAGAUAUCUGAAAGGAACAACUAAUCUUGGACUCCUGUAUAGGAAAUCCCUAGAUUACAAGUUGAUUGGAUUCUGUGAUGCUGAUUAUGUUGGUGAUGGGAUUGAAAGAAAAUCAACCAGUGGAAAUUGUCAAUUCCUGGGAGAGAAUCUGGUAUCCUGGGCAAGCAAAAGACAAGCAACUAUUGCUAUGUCUACAGCAGAAGCAGAAUACAUUUCAGCUGCAAGUUGUUGUACACAACUACUUUGGAUAAAACAUCAGUUGGAAGAUUAUCAGAUUAAUGCUAACAGUAUUCCCAUCUUUUGUGAUAAUACUGCUGCUAUUUGUUUGUCAAAGAAUCCAAUUCUACAUUCAAGAGCCAAGCAUAUUGAGAUCAAACAUCAUUUUAUCAGAGACUAUGUUCAAAAAGGAAUUUUAGAUAUACAAUUCAUUGAUAUUGAGCAUCAAUGGGCUGAUAUAUUUACAAAGCCUUUAUCUGUUGAAAGAUUUGAUUUUAUAAAGAAAAAUUUGAACAUGCACUUUGUGUCUGAUUAAAAAUUUGCUUGUCUUUGAAUAAGAAGUUUUGUUCUGAAGAUGACGUCAGCACUAAAACUUCAGAAGCGGUAUUCUUUGCUUCUGAAUAGCAAGGCUAGUGGGAUCGUUGGCAGUUACUUUUUGUAACAGCUGUCCCAUUACCCAAAGGUUAGUUUUCUGAAAAGUUUCUGACUUGGUCUAUUUGUAUUAGAGUAUAACAAAAAGGGCAAUGAUGUUUUAUAUGCUUUUAAACUUACUAACACGCGCCCUCAAUUUGUCAUUAAUGUUAUGUUUGUUUGUCUCCUUGAAUUGCAAACGUUUUGAUAAAAACACUUAAACAAACACACACAACUCACUUCACAACUCACACUUUCAUUUCAUCUUAACCUUCUCUGCUAAGAAACUCUCAAACCCUAGAAACCCUUUUCUUCUACAAUCAAUCAAAUGGCCUCAUCUAGUUCUGCACCUGGAUCAUCUUCAAACAUGCAACAACAAGAGGCUCCUACCUAUGAAAUCAAAGGAAGAACCAUGUCCUUGGAGGAAUGGGAACUGAAAAUUCAAUCAGAAAGUCCAGUGGAUUUCAUCUCCUUGGCCGCUCACAACUGUGAUAUUAGAAAAUUCUACGAAGCUCAAGGCUUGGGAAGCUAUUUCAACUUUCUGAACGGUCCAACCUAUCAAACCCUGGUACGACAUUUCUGGGUCAGAGCCAGCAUCUACGACAGAGAAGCUGCUAAGAUUGAAGAAGAUGAAAAAGUUCUUCUCCACCCAGAACUCAAAGGAAAAUCAAGAAAGGAAAUGGGCUUGGAACCAUUUUCUCAGACUCAGAUUAGGUCAAGCAUCAUGGGGGUCCCUGUGUGCAUCACUGAGAAUGUAAUUGCUUUCGUCCUCAGAAGUCCAGUAGAAGGGGAUUAUAAAGCUGGAAUUACAAAGCCCAAAGAUAGCCCCUGGAAUGAUAUUGUCAAUCAAACCCUCGACAACAAGCUCAAAGACUUUGCCUAUUCUGAUAUGAAUGCACAAACCAAGGUGAUGCUGAAGAUUCAGAAUGACAAUCUACUACCAAAAGGUGGUGGUAGUGAUCAACCGUCUCUGGAGCACAAAAUCCUUUUACACUUCUUCAUUACUGGUGUAAAGGCAAAUGUGCCCAGAUACAUAUUCAGACACAUGGUACAACAGCUCAGAGAGAGCUAGCUGAAGAAGAGGUGCUGGGUGCCCUAUGGAAGGCUACUCUCUGAAAUUUUCCAUCAAGGAGGGAUAAUCAAAAUGCUGAAGGAAGCAGGCAUCUUCUCUGAUGAAUAGUUGGAGACUGUUAGAGGGAAGAUCAUCAAUGCUGAAACCCUAAAGUCAAUGAAGCUGAUUGGUGUAAAGGAUGUCAAGAAGCUACCCACUGACUUGAAAGAAUCUGAUGCUAAAUCAGAUUUGAUUCCAAACUUUCCCCCCAUCUGCAAACAAGAUCCUUUGGAAGUGCAGAUGAACUACAUCAGGGAGCACUUUGAAAGAACAAAGGAGAAAAUCAGCUUGAAGGAUGUCCCUGAAGAAAUGUAUGGAGGAGUUCUUCCUGUUGCCAAAAGCAGGAAGACAAAAAGCCAAGCACUGUCCAAAGAAGAAUACUUGGAAGAAGAAGUGCCAAGAAAACCUUCCAAGAGGUCAAGAAAGGAUAUUAAGGUUGAGGUUGCAGCACCAAAGCCCAAGAAAACUAAAACUGCCAAGACUGAAAGCUCUAUUGUUUCUGCUUCUGAAGAAGCUGUUCUGAAGAAGAGAAACAAAGAGACUGAAGCUGCUCCUGAUGCUAUCAGAAGCAAAAGAGCAAAGGGUGAGACAAGCGUUCAGGAGCGUAUCAAGGAAGCUGCUGAACAGCUAAGGAAAGAAGAAGCUGAUCCUAAGCUAAAGAAGGCUCAGAAGCCUGUGUCUUUGGAAUCAUCUUGCUUCAGACUCACUUCUGAACAAGAACAAGAAACUAGAAACUAUGCUGCUGUUGAGAUAGCAAGGAGGAAGGAGCUGAAGAAACAAUAUGAAAAGCAAAGGGAUGAACAGCUCAAGGCAGCAGGGUACGAACUUGCUCCUGAGAAAGCUGCAGAAAUUGCCUCAUUAGCUGCUGAGAUUGCAGAAGAAACUGUCAAGGAAGGAGCAUCCUUGUUAAGUCAAGCUUUGAAAGGAAAGAAUGCUUCAGGAGCUACUUCUUCAGAACCAGCUUCAGAAGCUGCUCAAUUAGAAGCUCAACCUUCAGGUAUUCCUUCUCAACCUAAAGCUAGAAUCAAUACUCAGAUUCCUGCCCUUCUAUCUUCACCCUCCUCAUCAUCUUCCACUGACUCAGAUGAUGUUCCUCUGAGUCAGCACCUCAGUAAUUUCCUUACCGGUUUCAAACCUACUAAAUCCAAAAUUACUGGUACUAUAGACUUUGAGCAGACGCAAAUCAAUUUCUCUGAGCAGAGGAUAAAAAUCUGUGAAAAAUUGAAUUUGCCUGCUAUUCAUUUCUUUCAACCACCAGUAAUUGAACCGGUUAGUAUCCAACACCCAGAAACCAACCAAGUAACCAACCCACAAAGAGCCUCUGAAAUUGUUUCAGAAGCAACUUCAGAAAACCCCCAACAACAAGAAACCUCAACACUUCACAACCUAGAAAAACAUCUUGGAGGUGAAAUGCAACCAACACCUACAAAGGCCUCUAAAACAGUCCCUGAAGAGACUGUUUUGGAAAACCAACAAACAGAACCCCAAACUGAAACUCAAACCAUCCCAGAGCAAAUUGUUCCUGAACAUACUGUUCCUGAACAAGGUGCUUCUGACCUAGAGCAAAGUGUUCCUGAACAACAUGUUCCUGAACACAUUUCCUCUGACCAGCAAACUACCUCUGAACAAUCCCAGUCUAACACAGAACAACAACAACCAGAAUCACCAACCAUCAAUCUAACUUCUCCUGAACAUCAAACAGCUUCUGACCAACCUUCUACAUCUCAAACAACCAUCCCUGAACCUACACCUAUUCCAGAUACAAUCCUGGAAUCUGAGUAUAUUGAUGAAGAGCUUGUAAGGUUAAGUGAUGAGAUUCAGAGACUGAUUCUUCUCAGAACAGUUCCUGUACCUCCUAUUCACUAUCUUGAUCAAUGGAUGGAUCUGAAGAAGGACUUCAAUGAGUUGCUGGAUCAACUGAGUACAAAAUGCAUCACAACUCAUUCUGAUAUGCUGAAAAAGAUGUUGGAUGAACUUCAUGAAGCUUCAAGAGUGAAAGAGCUUGACUAUGUGCCUCUGCUAGCUAACACUCCUUUCUAUCCAGAGAGUGACUACACUUCAAGGGCUGACAGAAUUCAAGAAGGGCUGAGAAGAAGACUGAGAGCCAAGGAAGAAAUGGUAAACAAGCAACAAGAAGAACUCAAGAAGAAGUCUGAGCAGAUCUCAAGAAGAUUAGGCUCUGAGCCCUAUUAAAUUAACUUGUUAAUGAGCUUUGCUCUGAACCAUUUUUUUUGUGCUCUGAACCUUUUGUGCGUAUUUUUUAUUAAAAUUUAAUUAAUGAGUAUAGAACUCAGGGGGAGCUUACAAACCUCACCUUAAAGAUCUAUUAGACUCAGGGGGAGCUUACAAACCUCUAUCCCAGAAGUCAACUUAUUAAUUAGAUCAACAACAAUUGAACAUUUUAAUACUAUUGUUUGUCAUCAUCAAAAAGGGGGAGAUUGUUGGAACAAAAUGUGUUUCACAAUGAUCCUUAAUGAGUUUUGAUGAUAACAAGGUAUUAAAAAUUGUCAAUUGGUUAUUCCUAAUAAUUGUUCAAGUGUACAGGAUCAAAAGCUAGUCAAAUAAUUUCAAUAGGUCUUGGAAGAACAAUGGAGAGCAAAGGAAUUCGAAGCAUCUGAAGAAAACUGCGUCUGAAGCUAAAGUGCUUCUGAAGCUGAAGUGCCUCUGAAGUGAUGACGUCAUCAGAAGCAGAAGCUCAUCAGAAGCAGAAGGUCAUCAGAAGCAAAGUUUUUCAUCAGAAGCGAAAUCAUCACCAGAAGCUACAAUUGAUCCGUAAAUUUAAACUGGAGAUUCAAAGUAGUUGUUUAACAUUUCAACCUUGUCUAAGAAGAACGAAGAAUUGAAAGGGAGACAUCAACGGUCAUUUGGAGAACACUUAGUACUUGUCCUUCGUUAACAGAGUUGACAAAGUACAAGUGUACAACCACUACCUCCACUACUCUGUUUUUGUCCACGCUACAAGACAAGAAAAACAGUCAUGCCUGCAGAAAUGUUCCUUCAAGAUGGGAAUGAAUUUGAAGCUAAUUCUUCAAAGGACUACACCCAAAUCAGGCAAAGGAUUACUGGUGGAUGAUCAAAGGAACUCAACGACUCUUUAGACGUGCUAAUCAUCUCAACGUCUCUUUCACGCCUCUAUAUAAAGGAGUGAAGACUUGAAGAAUGUAGAUAGAGAUAUAUACAAGUUAAAAAGCGCCAAAACUCUGUCAAUUUGAUUCCACAAAGCACACUGAAUUUCUGCACUGAUUUGAUAUAUCUUAGAAAUUCAAAAGUCUAGAGUCUGUAUCGUAUUGUAUUGUGAACACCACUGAUUGUAUAUCAAGUGUUCAAGUCAAACUUAUUUCAUUGUAUUUUUGUUUGAUCAGAAGACUCUUGCCUGCGUGCUUGAGCAUUAGAAGACUCUUGCUUAGUGCUUGAGCAUUGGAAGACUCUUGCCUGUGUGCUUGAGAAUUUUGAGAAGUCUCAUACUUAGAGAGUAUUGAGCAUUUGUAAUCUUUGUGAUUAUAGUGAAAUCUCCUUGGAAGUGCAAGGGGGACUGGACUACUUCCGUGUUGUGGAAGAAACCAGGAUAACUGCUUGUGUCUUAUUCUUCUUUUCUCUGCUUUGAUCUUUUCCGCUGCAUAUCUGAUUCUGAUUAUUACAUUAGAAGCAUUUCCAAACUGCUUCCGAAGUACUAUCAGAAGAAGUAUUUUUUGAGAGAAAAAGAAAACACAAUUCAACCCCCCCUUCUUGUGUUUUUCUCACCUUCAAAUUAAUCAUAACUUCACAACUUAUCAUCUUCGACUCGACAAAUACAAAUAUGCAACUUAGACCUCUUAUAUGCAUGUGGUACCUGUAACACCCCAUUUUCCCAACAUAAAAAUUUCAUUUAAAUAAUCAGAGUAUUCAACACAAACGGAAUGCUACACUUCUUAAAAAUCAUAAAUGGAAUAAAUAACAAUUUAUCUUUCAUAAUUCAAUCAACAUAAAUAUUCAAAACUUCGUAGCGGAUUUAAUUCAACAACAUAAAUAGUCUUGGCACGAAGGCCUCAUUAAAACAUCUCUUAAAAAUCCAAUUAACAACUUAAUCAUGUAUAUUCAUAAACAAUACGUAAGGAAUAGAAAAGCAUGUAACAAAGUUCCCAUCCCGUUACGUAUCAGAGCACCUAAAGACACACGUGAGAGAUAGUCCACUCACGACAGCAAUCUAACAGCAACUUAAUCUCGAUCACCUGCAAGUUACUCAUACGAAGAGCAACAUUUCCAAGCAAAAGGGGUGAGAUUUCACAAAUCAAUAAUAUUAAGCAUAUAAUUCAACAAUUAUAUUUAACAACGUAAAUAUCAUCAAUUAAUAAUAAUAAUAAUUCUUCAUAUAGUGCUUCAUUAAUUGUUCAAUCCACUUCUAAUCAUCAUUAACUCAUAAAAAAUAUAAACAACAACAUAAUCAUCAUCUCAUAAUAAUAUAAACAACAACAUGAUCAUCAUCUUAUAUUAACAUAAGCAACAACAUAUUCAUCAUCUUAUAAUAUCAUAAGCAACAACAUAAUCCUUAAUAUUAUGUGGUUUGUCAUCAACAACAACUUCAACGAUUCGACGACGACAACGUCAACUU
rnacentral:lncRNA from 1 species